CGAAACCUAGCUCAAGUGGUAGAGCACCGUCCUGAUAAGACGGAUAUUGCGGGUUCAAGUCCUGCGGUAUCAU
rnacentral:tRNA from 1 species